rnacentral:rRNA from 1 species
GAUGAACGCUAGCGGCAGGCCUAACACAUGCAAGUCGAGGGGCAGCAUAAAGAUAGCUUGCUAUCUUGGUGGCGACCGGCGCACGGGUGCGUAACGCGUAUGCAACCUACCCUGUACUGAGGGAUAGCCCGGAGAAAUUCGGAUUAAGACCUCAUAGUAUAAUUGAAUCGCAUGGUUUGAUUUAUUAAAGGUUACGGUACAGGAUGGGCAUGCGUCCCAUUAGCUAGAUGGUGAGGUAACGGCUCACCAUGGCAACGAUGGGUAGGGGCCUGAGAGGGUGGUCCCCCACACUGGUACUGAGACACGGACCAGACACCUACGGGAGGCUG